UACAGAGGUCUCAAGCGUUGUUCGGAUUCAUUGGGCGUAAAGGGUGCGUAGGUGGCGCGGUAAGUCGGGUGUGAAAUCUCGGAGCUUAACUCCGAAAAUGCGUUCGAUACUGCCGUGCUUGAGGACUGGAGAGGAGACUGGAAUUCAUGGUGUAGCAGUGAAAUGCGUAGAGAUCAUGAGGAAGACCAGUGGCGAAGGCGGGUCUCUGGACAGUUCCUGACACUGAGGCACGAAGGCCAGGGGAGCAAACAGG
rnacentral:rRNA from 1 species